rfam:Fukomys damarensis contig148571, whole genome shotgun sequence.
GGAUAUGAGGGUGAUCUGACUUUGAUAUCUGUCACCCCUUUCAUUGCUCACCAGGAUCGAUUCCCCUGAUGCAUCUGGCCAGGCAGGUGUCCCCUUGCUCUUUCACCUUUCCAUGUGCAUUGCUUCCUGAGCUGCGUGCUGGGGAGCAAGGAGGACAACCCACCUCCACCCCAGGUGGAGGAGGACCAUUUCCUUGGCCGAGGGUAUACCAGUAGCUGUGCUCCCCUGCUAGAACCACCAAAUAAGCUCUCAAGAUAAAUGACUAAGAUUCAUAGUUUUGGAGGAAUGUUUGAUAGACUUGUUUGUAUUUGAUGUAGGUGAGGAUUGCUAUAAAU